rnacentral:rRNA from 1 species
UAUCGUUUAUUUGAUAGUACCUUACUACUUGGAUAACCGUGGUAAUUCUAGAGCUAAUACAUGCUAAAAACCCCAACUUCGGGAGGGGUGUAUUUAUUAGAUAAAAAACCAACGCCCUUCGGGGCUUCUUGGUGAUUCAUGAUAACUUUACGGAUCGCAUGGCCUUGCGCCGGCGACGGUUCAUUCAAAUUUCUGCCCUAUCAACUUUCGAUGGUAAGGUAUUGGCUUACCAUGGUUUCAACGGGUAACGGGGAAUUAGGGUUCGAUUCCGGAGAGGGAGCCUGAGAAACGGCUACCACAUCCAAGGAAGGCAGCAGGCGCGCAAAUUACCCAAUCCCGAUACGGGGAGGUAGUGACAAUAAAUACUGAUACAGGGCUCUUUUGGGUCUUGUAAUUGGAAUGAGUACAAUUUAAACCUCUUAACGAGGAACAAUUGGAGGGCAAGUCUGGUGCCAGCAGCCGCGGUAAUUCCAGCUCCAAUAGCGUAUAUUAAAGUUGUUGCAGUUAAAAAGCUCGUAGUUGAACCUUGGGUCUGGCUGGCAGGUCCGCCUCACCGCGUGUACUUGUCCGGCCGGGCCUUCCUUCUGGAGAACCUCAUGCCCUUUACUGGGCGUGUUGGGGACCAGGACUUUUACUUUGAAAAAAUUAGAGUGUUCAAAGCAGGCCUUUGCUCGAAUACGUUAGCAUGGAAUAAUAGAAUAGGACGUGCGGUCCUAUUUUGUUGGUUUCUAGGACCGCCGUAAUGAUUAAUAGGGACAGUCGGGGGCAUCAGUAUUCAAUUGUCAGAGGUGAAAUUCUUGGAUUUAUUGAAGACUAACUACUGCGAAAGCAUUUGCCAAGGAUGUUUUCAUUAAUCAGUGAACGAAAGUUAGGGGAUCGAAGACGAUCAGAUACCGUCGUAGUCUUAACCGUAAACUAUGCCGACUAGGGAUCGGGCGAUGUUCUUUUUCUGACUCGCUCGGC